ensembl:lncRNA
GUUUACUGCUCAACUGAUCCCUUGAAAUCUUUUGGAAAUUACAGAAAAAGUAACUUAAAAAAAUACAUAAUAGUUCUGGAAUGCAAUAAAUGAUAUCUUCAGUUGUCCGGAAAAUCUGAGUCACUUCUGGAAUGCAGAAAGCAAAUUAGCAGAGAAACUAGACCUGAUAAAGCCACAACAGAAAACCUGUACAGGUGAAGGCUGCCGUGGAUGUGGGAGGCAUUCUUUCCAGGUGAGCCUAAGAGGAACUGAGCUCAGAGUCAGCCACACACAGAGAAGGAGUGGGCAGGAAAUGAAAGGAGCGCUUUCUUUCAGGAGACCUGAGGUCAGCUGAGCCCCUCCCCAUCACCAUCACCAGCUACAGCUGCAGAAUUGCCCCAAGGCUGACUCCCGGAGACUUGUUUCCUAGGCAAAGUCAAAGAGCUGCCUGGUGUGUACUCCUAAUGGGGUCUCGGGACCCAUCAGAGCCUUAAUCCACUCUUUACCUCCACUAACACACAGAUGAGGAAAAAGGUGUGCUCCUUAGUUUCGACAUAGGAUGUUUUCCAGUAGCUUCCCUGACAAGGGAAGCAUGACAGAGGCACCUGGUGCUUCACAUCCCUGAGGUUCUCCCCUCUGCGCUAGACUCCUGCCCGGCUCCAGCACCUCCAAUAAGAUAUCCUCAGUUGCAAUCUCAAUCUGAUGGAAGAAAAAGAGGCCAUCAUUCAUUCACUCAGCAAACAUUUAUUGAGGACCUACUGUGUUCUCGGCACUGUAAUAGCCCUGGGAAAAAGAAGACAUUUGAGGAAAAAGACGAUCCAAGUUUCUGCCCUAACUGAGCUUACUUUUUGUAGGCAUUUAGUGGUUGGAAAGUAUGACAGACUGAAUUGUGUCAAACUUCUUAUGUUGAAGCCCUAACAUCCAAGGUGACAAUUUGGAGAUAGUGCCUUGAGGGAGGUGAUCAAUAAUAAAUGAGAUCACAAGAGUUGAACCCUAAUCUAACAGGACUAGUGUCUUUAUAAGAAGUGGAAGAGACAGCAGAGAUCUCUGUCUCUGUCCACAGGCACACAGAGGAAAGACCAUGGGAGGACACAGUGAGAAGGUGGCCAUUUAUAAGCCAGGAAGAAAGUCUGCACCAGAAUACAACCCUGCCAGCACCUUGAUCUUGGACUUCCAGCCUCCACACCUGUAACAAAACAAAUCUCUGUUGUCUCAGCCCCCCGACCUGAGGUAUUUUGUGAUGCAGCCUGAGCAGACUAAUACAGAAUGGAUCUGCGGUCACUGUGAGAAGACAGGAGAGGAGAAAGGAGAGAAAGGAAAUUGUUCACAGAAGAGGAAUACAGGAAUGAUUCUGAUCAUCACUCAGAAUUCUUGUCAUUUAUUUCACAAGUUAAGAUCGCUCCUAUUUUUGAUGGAUUCCAGUAAAGAAAAAGCUACAACUUCCCUUGAUGAUUACUUGGCUCUCUCAACCCUGUCUCGGGCCUUUCACUGCAUGGUUAUGUGUCAUGUCUAUCUGCCUCCUGGGAUUCAUAAGCUACUCCCGUGGCAAGUCUCAGCUUAGUUCAUUCGCCAGCCGCUGCUGGUCAGAGUCUGGCCUAAAUAUAGCUGCAUCCCUCUCAGGGUUCUCUCAUUUCUCCUGUGAACCAAAUGCUUUGAUUCUCAUUUCUGGUUUUAACUGGCCAACCAGGCAAUAUAUUUCCAUAUAUAAGCAAUCUCUGUGGAGUAUUUCUGAAUCCCCAAAGACAGUCUGCCCUUCCUUGGCUCAUGGAAUUAGGUAAGCGUGAACCCUAACUAACUGCUACAUGGACUUGGUCCCUGCUCCCACUGCUAAAUUUGGGGUGUUUGUAUUUGCUAUUUAUUGCCUAAGAAUUUACCACUAGGUUAGUGGUUUAAACAACACAUAUUUAUCAUCUUCAUUUCUGUGGGUCAGGAAUUCAGCUUAGCUGGGUCUUCUACUUCAGAGUCUCACUUAGCUGCAUCAAGUUGUUGACAGGGCUAGGGUCUCAUCUGAAAGUCUGACUGGGAAAGGAUCCACUGUCAGUCUCACUCAGGUUGUUGGCAGAAUUUGGUUCCUCAAGAAUAGCUGGACUGAGGGCCCCAGUGCCUUGCUGGCUGUUGGCCAGAGGCCACUCUCAGUUCUUCAGUUGCCACAUGGACCUCUCCAACAUGUCCAUUUACUUCAGCAAAGCAUGAAAGCCAAGAGGGCAAAUGGAGAGUCUGCUAGCAAGAGAGAGGUGACAAUCUCUCAUAAGCUAAUCAUGGAAAAGACAUCCCAUCACCUUUGCCAUUGUCCUAUUGAUCAGAAGCAAGUCACAAGGUUCAGACCACUCAAGUGGGGUGUGGGUUGAUUACACAAGGAGGCAGGCAUCACCAGAGGCCAUCUUAGAAGCUACCUAGAACAGUGUUGGUGAGCAGAAAAGAAGCCAUUCUGACCCAUCAGUCAUCUAGAUGUUUCUUCUGCAUCUCUGAAAGAACUACUUAUUACCUUCUUGUUUCUUAAGAAAAGGAAAUCUAGGAAGGUGAUACUGGUUUCAUUGUAAGCAUCAACCUCUUAGAAGUCAGGUCAAUUUGGCUAUGACAUUUGUCCUGUACUCCCAACACCUUUUACCCUUGGCCACUUGAAUAACUGACAAGUGCUCCCUCCUAAAUCCAUCUGAGACAGAACUUGCAUAGUGUCUGGCAAACACUACUCUUCCUCCUUCAAGAACUGGGCCAUCCUACCCCAAUAUCUCAAGGCAGAAACUACAAGUAACCCCUGACUCCUUCCUCUCUCUCAUUCUGUCUUCAUGGUGUAAAAUAUUAAACAAGUAUUUCGAUAAACAGUUAUGUGGAAGGGGACCUACCUGGCAAGAAGAGUAGUUAUUUAUUGAUGAUGGAGGUGGGGCAACAAGGCAAUUCCCAUGUGAUUUGGGACCUCUCUAAGAUCUAGUUUUCUUUACUACAAGAGAGAGGAUAAU